CUGAAUGGUCUUUUUGGCCUUCUACCCUUCAAACCUGUGGAAGCAACAUGUGCUUCGGCGCCCUUGGGCGCCGCUUUUUCUUGCCAGAAUAGACGUUGUGUCUGAAUCUGAAUCCAGAAUCA
rnacentral:misc_RNA from 1 species